GUUGCCAUUUGAUAACAACAAUUGUGGUUUUCCCUCCAAUUUUGAAAUUUCUAUGUAAUGAACUUGUGUUGAGAUUCUUUUAUUUUCUCUUUUCUAGUUUGGCCGCAAGUGUGAGUGAUUAAGCCUUACAUCAUCUAUGAAUGAAUGUAAUGUUAGAUUUAUAGGAGAGGAUGUUCAUAUAAGUAAUGCUUUAAGGCUUUUGGUGGAUAUGCGGUGUCUUCCUUUUUUGUGGUCCUAGAGUAUUA
rnacentral:lncRNA from 1 species